rnacentral:rRNA from 1 species
ACUACGGGGCGCUGCAGUGGGGAAUAUUGGACAAUGGGCGAAAGCCUGAUCCAGCCAUGCCGCGUGUGUGAAGAAGGCCUUCGGGUUGUAAAGCACUUUCAGUGGGGAAGAAAGCCUUGGGGCUAAUACCCUCGAGGAAGGACAUGACCCACAGAAGAAGCACCGGCUAACUCCGUGCCAGCGAGCCGCGGUAAUACGGAGGGUGCGAGCGUUAAUCGGAAUUACUGGGCGUAAAGCGCGCGUAGGCGGUCUGAUAAGCCGGUUGUGAAAGCCCCGGGCUCAACCUGGGAACGGCAUCCGGAACUGUCAGGCUAGAGUGCAGGAGAGGAAGGUAGAAUUCCCGGUGUAGCGGUGAAAUGCGUAGAGAGCGGGAGGAAUACCAGUGGCGAAGGCGGCCUUCUGGACUGACACUGACGCUGAGGUGCGAAAGCGUGGGUAGCAAACAGGAUUAGAUACCCCAGUAGUC